GAGGGCUCAGGCUCGCAACGGUGGCAAGGGUAAAACCAAGGACGAUGGUUUGACCCCCGAGCAGCGCCGUGAAAGGGAUGCCAAGGCGCUACAAGAGAAGAUGGCGAAGAAGGCGGCUCAGGCGGCAUCCGGAGGUAAUUCAUCUGGAGGUAAAAGUAGCGCUAAAAAGUAAAAUGGUCCUGGGUUUAGAAUCCUGAACUAUGUUGAUUUUUUUCAGCUUUGUUCUUGUUUGGAACGCUGAGAUCUCGUGGUUCUUAGACUGUUUGAUAUUGGAGAAUUAACCUUUUUAUGUUUCAGUAAUGUGAAUGGAUAUAUGUAUUAUGCUGU
rnacentral:misc_RNA from 1 species